UACGGGGGGGGCAAGCGUUGUUCGGAAUUACUGGGCGUAAAGGGCUCGUAGGCGGCCAACUAAGUCAGACGUGAAAUCCCUCGGCUUAACCGGGGAACUGCGUCUGAUACUGGAUGGCUUGAGUUUGGGAGAGGGAUGCGGAAUUCCAGGUGUAGCGGUGAAAUGCGUAGAUAUCUGGAGGAACACCGGUGGCGAAGGCGGCAUCCUGGACCAACACUGACGCUGAGGAGCGAAAGCCAGGGGAGCAAACGG
rnacentral:rRNA from 1 species